rnacentral:rRNA from 1 species
UGGGGAAUAUUGCACAAUGGGCGAAAGCCUGAUGCAGCGACGCCGCGUGAGGGAUGACGGCCUUCGGGUUGUAAACCUCUUUCAGCAGGGAAGAAGCGAAAGUGACGGUACCUGCAGAAGAAGCGCCGGCUAACUACGUGCCAGCAGCCGCGGUAAUACGUAGGGCGCAAGCGUUGUCCGGAAUUAUUGGGCGUAAAGAGCUCGUAGGCGGUUAGUCGCGUCUGCUGUGAAAACUCGAGGCUCAACCUCGGGCUUGCAGUGGGUACGGGCUGACUAGAGUGCGGUAGGGGUGACUGGAAUUCCUGGUGUAGCGGUGGAAUGCGCAGAUAUCAGGAGGAACACCGAUGGCGAAGGCAGGUCACUGGGCCGCAACUGACGCUGAGGAGCGAAAGCAUGGGGAGCGAACAGGAUUAGAUACCCUGGUAGUCCAUGCCGUAAACGUUGGGCACUAGGUGUGGGGUCCAUUCCACGGAUUCCGUGCCGCAGCAAACGCAUUAAGUGCCCCGCCUGGGGAGUACGGCCGCAAGGCUAAAACUUAAAUGAAUUGA